rnacentral:rRNA from 1 species
GAGUUUGAUCAUGGCUCAGGAUGAACGCUAGCGGCAGGCUUAAUACAUGCAAGUCGAGGGGCAGCAGCUUUAUAGCAAUAUAGAGGCUGGCGACCGGCAAACGGGUGCGGAACACGUACACAACCUUCCUUGAAUAGGGGGAUAGCCCAUAGAAAUGUGGAUUAAUACCCCGUAAUAUAGCGGUGUGGCAUCACACUGUUAUUAUAGUUUCGGCGAUUCGAGAUGGGUGUGCGGCUGAUUAGGUAGUUGGCGGGGUAAAGGCCCACCAAGCCUUCGAUCAGUAGCUGAUGUGAGAGCAUGAUCAGCCACACGGGCACUGAGACACGGGCCCGACUCCUACGGGAGGCAGCAGUAAGGAAUAUUGGUCAAUGGACGCAAGUCUGAACCAGCCAUGCCGCGUGAAGGAUGAAGGUCCUYUGGAUUGUAAACCUCUUUUAUAGGGGGCGAAAAAAGGUCUUUCUAGAUCACUUGACAGUACCC